GACGUACGCUGGCGGCGUGCUUAACACAUGCAAUUCGAACGGAAAGGCCUGCUUUCCCUUGUGGAUUGCGGGUACUCGAGUGGCAAACGGGUGAUUAACACGUGGUUGAUCUGCCCCCAACUUGGUUAUAAGCCUGGGAAACUGGUUCUAAUUCCCGAUAGGACUGCAGGGUGGUGCCUGUGGUGGAAAACGAUUUUCUAGUGGUUGGGGAUGAGCUCGCGGCCUAUCAGCUUGUUGGUGGGGUAAUGGCCUACCAAGGCGGCGACGGGUAGCCGGCCUGAGAGGGUGGACGGCCACAUUGGGACUGAGAUACGGCCCAGACUCCUACGGGAGGCAGCAGUGGGGAAUAUUGCACAAUGGGCGGAAGCCUGAUGCAGCGACGCCGCGUGGGGGAUGACGGCCUUCGGGUUGUAAACUCCUUUCGACCGCGAGGAAGCCACCUGGUUGGAAGGGUGGUGACGGUAGUGGUAGAAGAAGCACCGGCUAACUACGUG
rnacentral:rRNA from 1 species